UCGAGGAUAUUUAGCAAUGGACGAAAGUCUGACUAUGUGACGCCGCGUGAGGGAUGAAGGUCUUCGGAUCGUAAACCUCUUUCGAUAGGGAAGAAAACCUGCUCUUAACGGAGCAGACUGACGGUACCUAGAGAAGAAGCCACGGCCAACUCUGUGCCAGCAGCCGCGGUAAUACAGAGGUGGCGAGCGUUACUCGGAUUUAUUGGGUGUAAAGGGCAAGUAGGCGUCUUAACAAGUUGGAGGUGAAAUCCUGCAGCUCAACUGCAGAACUGCUCCCAAAACUGUUAGGAUUGAGACUGGAAGAGGAAAGCGGAAUUCUCGGUGUAAGAGUGAAAUCUGUAGAUAUCGAGAGGAACACCAGUGGCGAAGGCGGCCUACUGGGCUCUAACUGACGCUGAGGCUCGAAAGUGUGGGGAGCAAACA
rnacentral:rRNA from 1 species